AAGUCGUAACAAGGUUUCCGUAGGUGAACCUGCGGAAGGAUCAUUACCUAAGAGCAGCUCGGUUGCCCUUGUAGUCGGAGGAAGCGUUCGCGCCCUCCGGUGUGGGAGCUCUAGCUGAACAGACGAAGGUCUGGACCCUUGCCUAUACGUACCUUUUGUUGUUUCCUCGGCAGCAUUCGCCCUGCCGAUGGAGACCCCAUAAACUCUCUGCAUUAGCAUCCAAACUCCUGAUAACCACCUAAAUUAUCACAA
rnacentral:misc_RNA from 1 species